rnacentral:snRNA from 1 species
UUUGCUUCUUGGCCUUUUGGCUAAGAUCAAGUGUAGUAUCUGUUUUUAUCAGUUUAAUUAUAAUCACUGCCCAUGUUUUAGACUAUGCAUUUUGACAAGCGUUGUAAAUAAUUCCUAGGCAGUUUCCAGAAUGGUUCCAAGUAGUUCUUUAUGACUUGACCCCAGUGUCU